GGGAAAUUAUCCAAUUUGUGUGCCUGUGCGGUCUAGCGCCUGGCAGAGUAAUCAUGUAGUACUCUUCCAUACCAGUAAGUGGCAACAGUAGCAACAGCAAGUAGCUAAUUGCCUUGUGCUUGGAGACAAGCGAAUUAGUGACGCAUGGAUGCAGUGACAGGUGGAUAGCAGGACGACGGUGAAAGUGAUGGAUAAGUUUUUGAAGAGGAAAAAUGCUGACUCUGAACUGGACCCUGGACAAAAUCCGGACCCAGAUGAAGGCCCUAAUAUGAGUGGAGGUCAAAAGAAAGCAAAGACGUCCAGCAAAGUUUCUGGCGCGAGGCAAUACAACGAAAGCUAUCUUUCAUCUGGAUUUACUUUUACCGGAGAUGCAACGGCACCGACUCCGUUGUGCUUGGUAUGUGGUGAAAAGCUCUCCAACAGUGCUAUGGUCCCAAGGAAGCUUAAACGCCAUCUCUAAACGAAAGACCCUUCACUUCAAAACAAAAAUUUGGAGUAUUUUGUUCGCCUGCGUGAACACACGGAGAAACAAGCAACUUUCAUGAGAAAAACCGCAAAGGUAAACGAGAGAGCCCGUUUUCGGCAAAGCUAACAAACAAGCUAAGCUACCGCCGAGCUAGCGGCUGUGUUUCCAGGACUCCAGCAGCGUUGGGGCUCACAUUCAGCUGUCACCCCACAGGAAGCCAUCAGCCCCUACAGCCGGCGAGAGGAAACCAGAUAGCGCACUGGAUGAUGUCAGUCAGUGGCAUGCUUUGAUGUCAACAAGGUUAUCAACAUGAGAAAAUGAAACCGCUAAGUAGCGCUAGCUUUGGUAGCUAAUCAGGGCACGUCAUGCAUGUUAGCUGUGGACUGAGUCUCGCGUGCGAGCAGAAAGGAGGCUUAAUGACGUCACACAGUAACGUCAGUGACCUCACAGUACAAUUGUAUAGUUCCCAUAUAUAUACAGAACGUAUUACGUUCAGUGGCUGAUGUGAGAUAAGUAGAUCAUGUACAUUAAGCAGUUUGUUAGUGAGUAGCCUUAUUACAUGUUUUGUGUGUUAAUAAUUCAUUAAGUUUUUGGGCAGUUGUAGUUGCGUUGUUUGUUACUGUGUUAUUUCUGGGUGAUGCUCCCUUUAUAAUAACAAAGCUGAAGUGAGUGAGCAACAGGUGCAGCCAAAGCUCACCCAAGGCCACAGAUAGGGGCCUGGGUGUUUCUUUGCAUAGCCCUAUCGAAUGAUGAGCAGUACUCACGUGAAGUUGCAGGAUUGUUUUUCCUCCGAUGGUGAACGAUGAUCCUGAAUCCACAAUCAGCAUUGCUGGCUUCAUUGUUGACAUGCUGUUGUAAUCGCAAUGAAAUGUGACGGGAAGCAUCCGUAGCACUAAACUUUUCUUGCAUCAGUCUCCCUGCACCAACUGUCUGUACAAUUAGUGUAUCUGUGGUCACAACAUUGGAGUCUAAUACUGUCAUAAUGUCAUUACACACAGAUGUCUUUGUGUCAGUUUAUCACUCUGUCUGCCUCUGCACAGAAUGCCCAUCGACAUCAAGAGACAUCAAGUGCUGGCAGGACAAAUCUCGAAGAGCCACAUGAGAACAAAGCCGUAGGAAGAUUUUGAAUAUGUCCUCACUAUAAUCUGGUAGAUAUUACCUGGCAGCGCAUCUCCUACAGGUUCAACGCACACGGUAAUGUAUAGAGUACCACACCACCAUGCCUAAAUUGUCAGCUACAGGGUUCAGUACUUGCACUAUGUGUCAUUAUUUUUCAGCGGUAAUUUUUUUCACUCAUGCUGUCGCCACUACUUGUCACAUGUGCACUGAAAGCUGAAAUGUGUUAAUCUAAUAAUAUUAGGCUUUUACUUUGAAAGUGUAAUUGUCAAAUCAAACCUGUUACACUACACUGGUUACACAUGUACGUAUGGUACAUGUGUUUUGGAGACUGACUUUGCUAUUUAGUUUUUUCCCUCUACAGGUUUUGCUGUGGAGUGUCUGUUCAGGGCCAAGUUCAGUGUGAUCACAAGACUGAUGGGUGUGCUAUGUUUGUUUCAAGAUUCAAGAAGACUUUAUUUAUCCCGAGGGAAAUUGUCUUGCAACAGUAGUAAAACAAAUUGAGAAAGGAAUACAAAGUAAUAAAUAAUGGUAAAGUAAUAAAUAAACUAGUUACUAAGUACACAGAAUGCUAUGUGAUGAACAAACAUCUAACACUCAGACCUUUCCUGGCUUUUGUUACAGAUGGCGUCAAUUGAUCAUGAAACUCCAUUUGGAAAUUUGUCAACUGUUCUUAAACACUGCUGUUAACUGUUUGUUUGUCCAUCACCACAGGGUGGCUGUGGGUAACUCUGACAACGCCACUUUGGUGUGAGCGCCCUCCUUGGGCCACGCCAGUUCAGUUCAUCCUUCAGUCUGUAAGGAGGAACCCAACAGAGACAUGGAAAAAUGAUGCAUCCGACUGUUGGUGGAAAUAAAAACAUAGAGUAUUUUAUAAGAUUUUUCAAUGCAUGUGAGAUCCUUGCUUACUUCAGAGUCAUACAAAAGAAGAUGACAGUGCAGAUUUAACUGGAAUUAAAUAUAGUCUAAUCAAUAUUUUUUGUUUUUUGUGUUACUUUUUAAAUUAAAUGGUAUCUUUAAACCCAAUUACAUUUAGGUGCUAAGUAAACUUUGAAGUUCAGUGGACACUCCAUAAUGCAGCAAGCCACAAAUUGUGUUUAUGCCAUAAUUGGACCUUUUCAUAGAGGGCAUUGUUGCAAUGGACACUGGUGACAGUUGGCCGUGCGUUUCCAGUGUAAUUUUGUGUGAAAGCAGUGAUCAACAAUUGCGACUUGAUUAUUAUUUUACUGCAUCACUGUAUUGUAACAUUCAAAUAAAGUCUGAUCACUCUGA